rnacentral:rRNA from 1 species
GACAGAGGCCACAAGCGUUAGGCGGAAUCACUGGGCUUAAAGCGCGUGUAGGUGGGCCAGCAAGUACCUUGUGAAAUCCCAUAGCUCAACUAUGGAACUGCUUGGUAUACUGCUGGUCUUGAGCCAUCUAGGGGCUACUGGAACAAACGGUGGAGCGGUGAAAUGCGUAGAUAUCGUUUGGAACGCCGACGGUGAAAACAGAUGACUGGGGACCUGCUGACGCUGAGACACGAAAGCCAGGGGAGCAAACGGG